rnacentral:sRNA from 1 species
GGAUUGCCUCAGACCACACUAUCUCCACUUGCCCAGCCCUGUGGAAGAUUAGCGACCAUGUAUUCCAAUGUGAUAGGAACCAUAACCUCUGGAAAAAGCAUGGGAGAAAAUCAACCAUCAGUUGAUUCUAAUUCCACCAUGACCAUGUCCAGGCAACUGAACUAUCCCCUGGCAGGAAGUCUCGGACUGAACCCGUCUCGGGCCCUUGUACUUGGUUCAAAAGCUUUAGCCCUUCUCUUGGCCACACCAGGAAGGUGUAUCUUUUGUCCUUGCUGCUCAUUGGCUUCUGGGACUGUGUGACCUGUCACGGGAGCCCUGUGGACAUCUGCAUAGCCAAGCCGCGGGACAUUCCCAUGAAUCCCAUGUGCAUUUACCGCUCCCCGGAGAAGAAGGCAACUGAGGAUGAGGGCUCAGAACAGAAGAUCCCCGAGGCCACCAACCGGCGUGUCUGGGAACUGUCCAAGGCCAAUUCCCGCUUUGCUACCACUUUCUAUCAGCACCUGGCAGAUUCCAAGAAUGACAAUGAUAACAUUUUCCUGUCACCCCUAAGUAUCUCCACGGCUUUUGCUAUGACCAAGCUGGGUGCCUGUAAUGACACCCUCCAGCAACUGAUGGAGGUAUUUAAGUUUGACACCAUAUCUGAGAAAACAUC